rnacentral:piRNA from 1 species
UAGGCAUUGAACAGGAUGUGUAGCCAGUU